UACGUAGGGGGCGAGCGUUGUCCGAAGUUACUGGGCGUAAAGCGUACGUAGGCGGCCUGUUAAGUUACAUCUGAAAGGUGACAGCUCAACUGUCAACGGUGGUGUAAGACUGGCAAGCUUGAGGCAAGCAGAAGAGUGUGGAACUCCGAGUGUAGCGGUGGAAUGCGUAGAGAUCGGGAGGAACACCAGUGGCGAAGGCGGCUACCUGGACCAGCACUGACACUGAAGCACGAAAGCGUGGGGAGCAAACAGG
rnacentral:rRNA from 1 species